rnacentral:lncRNA from 1 species
GUCUUUGGAGCCCGAUCAGUCUGCUUUCAGACACGAACACACACGAGCGCGCGAUCACUUGGCUCCACGUGAAGCACAGUUCAAGUUGCGCAUGCGCGAAACCUUGCGAAAGAAAACGUUAUUGCAACGGCAAUCGGACAACGUCUACUGCCCCCGCGUUAUUUUCGGCCAGGCCUUCUUAUCAAGAUCCGGGGCAGCUGUCUCGAAACCGCCCCGAGGCUUGCGUGUGCAACGUACCGUGCCACGGCCAAGAGGAGUUUUUUAAUGAAUAAAAAAUACAAAUAUAUGCAACAAGUAGCCGUAACCAUACGUGUAGCAGCAUCAGUGUGUGCCUGUGUGCCUGUGUGCGGUGUGUGUCUGUGUUUUUGGUAAAGUAAGCAACAAAAAAAAUGUGCAUCAAUUAUUUUAAAUGGUCAACUUAGUGCUCCCCCCUCCCAGCCACAGUGCGCGACAUCCAAUCAGCGCGAAAAUGUCCACCACUUUGUGCAACACAGAUCCCAAGCAGUAAACACAAUUAAGGCGACUGGGAGACAGCGUCCGAGCCAGAGCCAGAGCCAGAGCCAGAGCAGCGCAAACGUAAUUCGGGCACCGCGAACCAGUUUCCAGUUUCUAAUGCCAAUCCAGCAAUCGACAGGCACACUCCACCUCCAAAUGCCACCAACUGCAAAAUAAAAGUUAUAGCCCAACAAAAAAUAUAAGAGAAAUAACAAAAACCUAAUAAUAAAUACGCCUAAGCCCAAAUUGUUGUCAGUUUUGUGCGGCUUUUUCGUUGAUUUAUGUGCGCGAUUAAAGGAAACAGCAACAGAAAAGUCCAAAAGGCAGCGACAGAAAACGAUAAUAAAUAAAUCCGUGUAGCUGCAGCGCCCCACCCUUGCCCCCCCACAGUGAGUGUGUGUUGUGUACCUAUGAAUGCAAAUCAAGCGAAAAACAAAGCCAAAAGGCAACAGCUGAUCAAACGCCAGAGAUAAGCUGCAGUACAAGGAUAAAUUCCCGCAACAUGGAUAAACCCAAUCAAAUGAUGCCCAUGGAGCUAGAGAGGUGAGCGACAUUUGUAGCUAAGCUUAU